rnacentral:rRNA from 1 species
GCUUAGCCUUAAACCUAGAUGAAGUUUUUACAAAUUCAUCCGCCAGGGUACUACAAGCGCUAGCUUAAAACCCAAAGGACUUGACGGUGUCUCAGACCCGCCUAGAGGAGCCUGUUCUAGAACCGAUAAUCCUCGUUAAACCUCACCACCCCUUGUUCUCUCCGCCUAUAUACCGCCGUCGCAAGCUUACCCUGUGAAGGUCCCAUAGUAAGCAAAAUGGUUACACACCAAAACGUCAGGUCGAGGUGUAGCUCACGAGGUGGGAAGAAAUGGGCUACAUUUUCUAUAUCAGAAUAAUACGAAUAGUACUAUGAAAUUAGUAAUUGAAGGUGGAUUUAGUAGUAAAAAACAAAUAGAGAGUCUUUUUGAAUCAGGCUCUGAGACGCGC